rnacentral:rRNA from 1 species
GAUGAACGCUGGCGGCGUGCCUAAUACAUGCAAGUCGAGCGAACGGACGAGAAGCUUGCUUCUCUGAUGUUAGCGGCGGACGGGUGAGUAACACGUGGAUAACCUACCUAUAAGACUGGGAUAACUUCGGGAAACCGGAGCUAAUACCGGAUAAUAUUUUGAACCGCAUGGUUCAAAAGUGAAAGACGGUCUUGCUGUCACUUAUAGAUGGAUCCGCGCUGCAUUAGCUAGUUGGUAAGGUAACGGCUUACCAAGGCAACGAUGCAUAGCCGACCUGAGAGGGUGACCGGCCACACUGGAACUGAGACACGGUCCAGACUCCUACGGGAGGCAGCAGUAGGGAAUCUUCCGCAAUGGGCGAAAGCCUGACGGAGCAACGCCGCGUGAGUGAUGAAGGUCUUCGGAUCGUAAAACUCUGUUAUUAGGGAAGAACAUAUGUGUAAGUAACUGUGCACAUCUUGACGGUACCUAAUCAGGAAGCCACGGCUAACUACGUG